GUGCCAGCCGCCGCGGUAAUACGGGGGGAGCAAGCGUUGUUCGGAAUCACUGGGCGUAAAGGGCGUGUAGGCGGUUCGGUAAGUGGGAUGUGAAAUGCCCCGGCUCACCCGGGGACCUGCAUCCCAAACUGCUGAGCUUGAGUACAGGAGAGGGUGGGGGAAUUCCAGGUGUAGCGGUGAAAUGCGUAGAUAUCUGGAGGAACACCGGUGGCGAAGGCGCCCACCUGGCCUGCUACUGACGCUGAGGCGCGAAAGCUAGGGGAGCAAACGGGAUUAGAUACCCCCGUAGUCC
rnacentral:rRNA from 1 species